rnacentral:rRNA from 1 species
GGAGUGGCGCACGGCUGAGUAACACGUGGCUAACCUACCCUCGGGACGGGGAUAGUCCCGGGAAACUGGGACUAAUCCCCGAUAGAUGAAGGGGUCUGGAAGGCCCCUUCACCGAAAGGGUCGGACCGCAAUGAAGGUCCGACCGCCCGAGGAUGGGGCCACGGCCCAUCAUGGUAGUUGGCGGGGUAACGGCCCGCCAAGCCGAAGACGGGUAGGGGCCGUGAGAGCGGGAGCCCCCAGAUGGGCACUGAGACAAGGGCCCAGGCCCUACGGGGCGCACCAGGCGCGAAACCUCCGCAAUGCGGGAAACCGUGACGGGGUCACCCCGAGUGCCCCGAAGAGGGGCUUUUCCCCGCUGUAAAAAGGCGGGGGAACAAGCGGGGGGCAAGUCUGGUGUCAGCCGCCGCGGUAAUACCAGCCCCGCGAGUGGUCGGGACGAUUAUUGGGCCUAAAGCGCCCGUAGCCGGCCUGGCAAGCUCCCGCUGAAAUCCCCGGGCUCAACCCGGAGACGGGCGGGAGGACUGCCAGGCUAGGGGGCGGGAGAGGCCGAGGGUACUCCCGGGGUAGGGGCGAAAUCCGAUAAUCCCGGGAGGACCACCAGUGGCGAAGGCGCUCGGCUGGAACGCGCCCGACGGUGAGGGGCGAAAGCCGGGGGAGCGAACCGGAUUAGAUACCCGGGUAGUCCCGGCUGUAAACGAUGCGGGCUAGCUGUUGGGUGGGCUUUGAGCCCG